rnacentral:rRNA from 1 species
GGUCAAGUUGUUAAGGGUCUACGGUGGAUGCCUUGGGGCCAAGGGCCGAAGAAGGGCGUGGCAAGGCUACGAAAAGCCUCGGUUUGCUGCCUAGCAAGCUCAGCCGGGGAUGCCCGAAUGGGGAAACCCUUCCUAGGUCAUACUAGGAAAUCCACAUAGGAUGGUAAGCGGGGGAACUGAAACAUCUCAGUACCUCGAGGAAAAGAAAUCAACCGAGAUUCCCCUAGUAGUGGUGAACGAACGGGGAAGAGCCCAAACCUGUGGGGCUUAGUGGACUGAGGUCCUAUGCCGCUCGGGUGUUGUAACACAUGCCUCUCCCGGCCUCAGCACGGGAGAAGGAGUAAGAAACCUCUGAUCUAGCCGAACGAAUCUGGAAAGGACGACCGAAGAGGGUGAUAGUCCCGUAGGCGAAAGGUUAGAGGCUCCUGGUGUGUUGUUGAGUACGGCGGGACACGUGGAAUCCUGUCGGAAGCUGGGGGGACCACCCUCCAAGGCUAAAUACCCUUGGCCACCGAUAGUGAACCAGUACCGUGAGGGAAAGGUGAAAAGAACCCCGG